GCUGGGCGUAGUGGCGGGUGCCUGUAAUCCCAGCUACUCAGGAGGCUGAGGCAGAAGAAUUGCUUGAACCCGGGAGGCAGAGGUUGCAGUGAGCCGAGAUUGUGCCACUGCACUGUAGCCCGGGCGACAAAGUAAGACUCUGUCUCAA
rnacentral:SRP_RNA from 1 species